AUUGAAAGCUGGCGGCAGGCCUAACACAUGAAAGUCGAGCGAGCGGCGGACGGGUUAGUAAUGUCUGGGAAACUGCCUGAUGGAGGGGGAUCACUACUGGAAACGGUAGCUAAUACCGCAUACCAUCAGAUGUGCCCAGAUGGGAUUAGCUAGUAGGUGGGGUAAUGGCUCACCUAGGCGACGAUCCCUAGCUGGUCUGAGAGGAUGACCAGCCACACUGGAACGGAGACACGGUCCAGACUCCGACGGGAGGCAGCAGUGGGGAAUAGUGCACAAUGGGCGCAAGCCUGAUGCAGCCAUGCCGCGUGUGUGAAGAAGGCCUUCGGGUUGUAAAGCACUUUCAGCGGGGAGGCGUUACCCGCAGAAGAAGCACCGGCGAACUCCGUGCCAGCAGCCGCGGUAAUAC
rnacentral:rRNA from 1 species